AGCGAACGCUGGCGGCAGGCCUAACACAUGCAAGUCGAACGAGGUCUUCGGACUUAGUGGCGGACGGGUGAGUAACACGUGGGAACGUGCCUUUAGGUUCGGAAUAACUCAGGGAAACUUGUGCUAAUACCGAAUGUGCCCUUCGGGGGAAAGAUUUAUCGCCUUUAGAGCGGCCCGCGUCUGAUUAGCUAGUUGGUGAGGUAAAGGCUGACCAAGGCGACGAUCAGUAGCUGGUCUGAGAGGAUGAUCAGCCACAUUGGGACUGAGACACGGCCCAAACUCCUACGGGAGGCAGCAGUGGGGAAUCUUGCGCAAUGGGCGAAAGCCUGACGCAGCCAUGCCGCGUGAAUGAUGAAGGUCUUAGGAUUGUAAAAUUCUUUCACCGGGGACGAUAAUGACGGUACCCGGAGAAGAAGCCCCGGCUAACUUCGUGCCAGCAGCCGCCGUAA
rnacentral:rRNA from 1 species